GUAUUGAUUGCGUGUGACCGCAAAAUAAAUAAAUAAAAAGAACAUUCUACACUGUAUCAAGUUUUAUGUGAAAACGCAAGCCCUCCUGCAAAGGGGGGCCCACGCGGUGAUGCACAAAAGGGGUGAGAUGGAUUGUGUGAGAGCGCUCGGGCGUGCACGACCUUUAGAGGGUCAGCGACAGCCUUUGCACCUCAGUUGUACAAUAAUGAUCCUUCCGCAGGUUCACCUACGGAAA
rnacentral:misc_RNA from 1 species